rnacentral:rRNA from 1 species
UACGAAGGGGGCUAGCGUUGCUCGGAAUCACUGGGCGUAAAGGGUGCGUAGGCGGGUCUUUACGGCAGGGGGGAAAUCCUGGAGCUCAACUCCAGAACUGCCUUUGAUACUGAAGAUCUUGAGUUCGGGAGAGGUGAGUGGAACUGCGAGUGUAGAGGUGAAAUUCGUAGAUAUUCGCAAGAACACCAGUGGCGAAGGCGGCUCACUGGCCCGAUACUGACGCUGAGGCACGAAAGCGUGGGGAGCAAACAGG